UACGGAGGUGGCGAGCGUUGUCCGGAAUCAUUGGGCGUAAAGAGCGUGUAGGCGGCCAGACAGGUCCGUUGUGAAACUAGAGGCUUAACCUCUAGACGUCGAUGGAAACCGUCUGGCUAGAGUCCGGAAGAGGAGAAUGGAAUUCCUGGUGUAGCGGUGAAAUGCGCAGAUAUCAGGAAGAACACCCGUGGCUAAGGCGGUUCUCUAGUACGGUACUGACGCUGAGACGCGAAAGCGUGGGGAGCGAACAGG
rnacentral:rRNA from 1 species